UCCGGUUGAUCCUGCCGGAGGCUACUGCUAUCGGGGUCCGACUAAGCCAUGCGAGUUGAGAGGGGUAAGCCCUCGGCAUAUUGCUCAGUAAUACGCGGAUAACCUGCCCUUGGGUUCGGGAUAACCCCGGGAAACUGGGACUAAUACCGGAUAGAUCAAAGAUACUGGAAUGUUCUCUGGUCUAAAACUCUGGUGCCCAAGGAUGGGUCUGCGGCCUAUCAGGUAGUAGUGGGUGUAACGUACCUACUAGCCUACGACGGGUAAGGGUUGUGAGAGCAAGAGCCCUGAGAUGGAUUCUGAGACAUGAAUCCAGGCCCUGCGGGGUGCAGCAGGCGCGAAAACUUUACACUGCGGGAAACCGCGAUAAGGGGACCCCGAGUGCCAGCACCUAGUGCUGGCUGUCCAGCUGUCCAAAAAACAGUUGUUAGCAAGGGCCGGGCAAGACCGGUGCCAGCCGCCGCGGUAACACCGGCGGCCCGAGUGGUAGCCGUUAUUAUUGGGUUUAAAGGGUCCGUAGCCGGCCUAUUAAGUCUCUUGGGAAAUCUGGCGACUCAAUCGUCAGGCGUCCAAGAGAUACUGGUAGGCUUGGGACCGGGAGAGGUGGGAGGUACUCCAGGGGUAGGGGUGAAAUCUCGUAAUCCUUGGGGGACCACCGAUGGCGAAGGCAUCCCACCAGAACGGGUCCGACGGUGAGGGAUGAAAGCUGGGGGCACGAACCGGAUUAGAUACCCGGGUAGUCCCAGCCGUAAACGAUGCUCGCUAGGUGUCGUGCGGUGCGACCGCAUCUGGUGCCGCAGUGAAAACUUGAAGCGAGUCACCUAAGUACGGUCGCAAGGCUGAAACUUAAAGGAAU
rnacentral:rRNA from 1 species